UGGGGAAUAUUGCACAAUGGGCGAAAGCCUGAUGCAGCGACGCCGCGUGAGGGAUGACGGCCUUCGGGUUGUAAACCUCUUUCAGCAGGGACGAAGCGCAAGUGACGGUACCUGCAGAAGAAGCACCGGCUAACUACGUGCCAGCAGCCGCGGUAAUACGUAGGGUGCAAGCGUUGUCCGGAAUUACUGGGCGUAAAGAGUUCGUAGGCGGCUUGUCGCGUCGUUUGUGAAAACCAGCAGCUCAACUGCUGGCUUGCAGGCGAUACGGGCAGACUUGAGUACUGCAGGGGGGACUGGAAUUCCUGGUGUAACGGUGAAAUGCGCAGAUAUCAGGAGGAACACCGGUGGCGAAGGCGGGUCUCUGGGCAGUAACUGACGCUGAGGAACGAAAGCGUGGGUAGCGAACAGG
rnacentral:rRNA from 1 species